AAGAAAAAGGAUGGAUUCAAAUUAAAAUUCAUGUGUAUAUUUAGAAUGGAUCUCAACAUCUGCUGCAGUUUGACUGCCCAGGACACUCUGAAACUUUCAGCCUUUC